UGGGGAAUUUUGCGCAAUGGGCGAAAGCCUGACGCGGAGCAAUACCGCGUGAGGGAUGAAAGCCUGUGGGUUGUAAACCUCUUUUCUCAAGGAACAAAUUCUGACGGUACUUGAGGAAUAAGCAUCGGCU
rnacentral:rRNA from 1 species